CGGCCCCCCGAGGCGGUGCUGUCCCUGACCGUACGGCUGGAGCUAGGGUCCAGAGAUGGGCAGUGAGAAGGAGCAGAGCCCAGAACAGCACCUGCCCGAGGACGGGGAACGGGGUCAUAAGCCACGGAGAGUGGACGACUCGGAGGGUCCUUGGAUCCCAGGUGGGGAGAAAGAGCGUGGGCAAGCAAGCCUGUCGGAGGGGCCACAAGGGCUCUAUCCAGAGAAGCCACCGCAGGACGUCCCUGUCCCCGCUGGAGAGCCAGAGGACCUCUCUGCUCAUCCGAGGCCCGAGGCUGAUGAGAAGCCCUUUAUCUGUGCCCAGUGUGGCAAAACCUUCAAUAACACCUCCAACCUGAGAACACACCAGCGGAUCCACACAGGCGAGAAACCCUACAAGUGUUCUGAGUGUGGCAAGAGCUUCUCGAGAAGCUCCAACCGCAUCCGGCACGAGCGCAUCCACCUGGAGGAGAAGCACUUUAAGUGUCCCAACUGCGAGGAGAGCUUCCGCCGGCACUCGGACCUCACCACGCACCAGCAGGAUCACCUGGGCAGGCAGCCCUUCCGCUGCGACAUCUGCGGCAAGAGCUUCAGCCAGAGCUCGGCGCUGGCCGUGCACUACCGGACCCACCUGGAGCCGGCGCCCUACAUCUGCUGCGAGUGCGGGAAGAGCUUCAGCAACAGCUCCAGCUUCGGCGUGCACCACCGCACCCACACGGGCGAGCGGCCCUAUGAGUGCGCCGAGUGCGGGCGGACCUUCAGCGACAUCUCCAACUUUGGGGCGCACCAGAGGACCCACAGGGGCGAGAAGCCCUACCGGUGCACGCUGUGCGGGAAGCACUUCUCCCGCAGCUCCAAUCUCAUCCGCCACCAGAAAACUCACCGGGGAGAGCAGGCUGGGAAAGAUUCCAGCUGAAGAGGGCGAGGAAGAGAGAGAGCAGAGCGUGGGACCCCAACCUAGUGCAGAAAGAUCUUUAGGAUCUCCUGCUGCCCCCUUGACCUCAAGCCCUUCCCCCCACUUUGGAGAAUGGUUUUCUGUUGCCUCUGAAGCCAGGAUCUCCAGGAAGUCCUGAGAAGGGACUCUGAGUAAAAAUCUUCACUUCUUUUCCAGGCCGAUUUCUUGUGGUAGAAAGUCAGAGGACCCCGUCUUGGCCUCACCUCCUUGGGGUGAAAGAGAAAUAAGUUGUCGCAGCAACCGCAAGGGAGUAAGAUGAGACAAGUGAGAAAAGGUGAAGUCACUCGCUGUGAAGUCGCACAGCAGGUGGUGUUUUUGCCUUAGAAGAUCACAAUUUUACAACCAUCAUGUAAUGAAUAGAUUCAGAGCAGUAGAAAUUUCCAAGACUCGUUACUGGGAAAGGCAAUGAAAUUUCUUUAAGAGUCAGAGCCCUAGAACAAUGCCUGGCGCCCAGCAGGUGCUCAAUAAAUGAAUGAAGUGAAACGAAUGAAAAGAUAUGGGUUCCAUGACAGGAAAGAGCUUGCACUGGGAACCCUGCACCAGGUGGUUUAGGAGAUGCCGACCAUCAGAGCCAGAGAUGACCUUCAGAAGGGAAGAGAUCCCUGGGAAUUCACAGAAACCUGGGGGCACCUGCCCUGGCUCUCACCUGGAUUCUGCUCCUGACUCCUCCCGUCCACCGAAGCCAGAUUCCGAUUCCCACCAUUAUUCCCUGACUUGGCAGUCGAGCCCUGGACAUUAAGUGGACCAGGCUCAGCCCUCCGUUUGUCUCUGUUCCCUUCCCUUCCCAGCCCACUCCCAACCCCUCUCCCUGCCAAGGGUCGGUGUGAGUGCACGCGUGCUGGGG